rnacentral:rRNA from 1 species
UAAGCCCGGAAGAGCCUGGUUAGUAUUGCGGUGGGUGACCACGUGAGAAUCCCGGGUAAUGCAUUUA